AACCUAACAGCUAGCCUCC
rnacentral:rRNA from 1 species